rnacentral:rRNA from 1 species
UACGAAGGGGGCUAGCGUUGCUCGGAAUCACUGGGCGUAAAGGGUGCGUAGGCGGACUCGUAAGUCAGAGGUGAAAGCCCGUGGCUCAACCACGGAACGGCCUUUGAUACUGCGAGCCUUGAGUCCUGGAGGGGUUGGCGGAAUUCGUGGUGUAGCGGUGAAAUGCGUAGAUAUCAGGAGGAACACCUGUGGCGAAAGCGGCUCACUGGACCAUAACUGACGCUGAUGCACGAAAGCUAGGGGAGCAAACAGG